GAUUUGUAACGAUCUGGGCCUGGCCAGCCCGGAUCCUCCCUUAUCCCACGAGAAGAACAGCACGUCUUACAGGGACACAGAGACCCUCCAUGUGAGCUACUGUCCUGGGAACGCUGGUCGUACCAAGGGAAGCCCUUUGGCAGGCAUGCAGCCUUUGUUCCUCUGCCUGCUUAAGCAAGCUUCUCUUAGGGGCCGGUUGCGGGUGCACACUUCUGUCCAGCCGGCCGCUACUGGACACGCAAGUGGAAAGGGAGUUUCAGCAUCAUUGAAUGACUUUCUUUUGGUCAUAGAAUUAAUAUGGAACAGAAAAACAGCUUAACGUCUCCUGACACCAAAGCCCAUGCUCAAUUCAUUAAUCCUUGUUGGAUCCAGACAGGAGAAGAGGGCUCAUUGCCAGCAUCGCGACAGCUUCCCUAACUGAUUUCAUGACACCUCUGAAAAAGGCAAAAUGCUGUGCUGCCACUUAAACAAAGCUAUGGCCAGACCGUGUGGUGAAGGCAAAGUGAGCGGGACCCGGUCGAGGACAGAAAUCUAAUCCUCCAGUGUUGAACCGGCGUGCUCAGCAGGAGGUGAGAUGCCUGCCACAGCAUGGCUUGGUAAGCAGUGCAUAGGUCCAUGCCUGGGAUUCGAAUGGCUGCGGGAGCUGAGCACGUGAACUUAACCACUGAGCCAUCGGGCAGGCCCCUUGCCAAGACUCACAGAACGAGAAAGACAAGCAUCGGAGUUGAGACCCAUGAAGGACGGCCCGAAUGUUUAGCCGGAAAUAGAUUUGCCCUCACACACAGGAAAGCCCAGCUUCCAGUGACCUCAAGUUUUGAUUGGACUAAGAUGAAUCAGGAUUUCAUGUGACUCUUCAAACUUAAAUCAGGUAUAUUAUCUCUGUAGUUCUCAAAUUAUCUCUCUAUAUUUUUCAUAUUUAAUGUUCAAUGCCAAAAGAGAGGACAAAAAAAAAUACCCAAACAAAUCAAACAAACCCACAGACUAUUCAGAUAAUGGAAUUACCGUGCAACCUUUAAAGUCACUAGGUCUGAGAGUUAAAAGAAAAUUUUAAAACACUGGAGAAUUAUGUCAGAUGACAGUAAACUAUUUAAAAAGAACCAACAUAAGAAGCAAAUCUUGAGAGCGCCAUGCCAUGAGAAGGCCACAGUACUUCGAGAGGCCACCUGGAGGUACCUCCACCAGCAGUCUGGGAGUUACCCCAACCCAAGGACAGCUGUGGCAGCAAGUGAAUCUUCACAUGACGAAGUCACGGUAGUCUUUGAUUCUCCUCAGGUGACAGCCCAGAGCCGAAAUAAACCAUCUCCAUUGUGUUGGAAUUCCCGGGCCACAGAAACUGUGAGACUAAAAGAAAGAAAAUUUUUUUAAGUUGUUUUAAACGACUGUGUUUUGGAGAAAUUUGUUCUGUGGCAAUAGUAACUAGAAUACUAUUAAACUUGAAGAUUAUUAUACCUAACAAUUUAACAACUUUAUCACCAGAAAGAGUCAUACCUGUGCACACAGAGACAUAUAAUAAUGGCCAUUGUAGUGUCUUCAUAAAAGUGAAAAAUAUAGAAAACAAAGGAUGCAGCAAUGGGAGAAUCGAUACCAAAUUGGUGGUACAUAUGUGCGAUAAUUUACCAUUAAUAGGAUCAUAAGAUAAAGCUCUAGGUGUCUGCAUGUUUCAACUUGGAAUAAAAAUGGCCAAGAAGAUGCAGCAGAAUUGGGUGGCACUGUAGUUUUCCUCAUUGGAUGACACCUUUUCUUUGGACUCCACUUUUUACUUCAGGGCAAUAAGGUUUUUGUUGGUUUGUUUGUUUCUAGAUGAUUAUGGCGAUAACUUUCAGCUUAAAAAUGUUCAUAACUCUAUAUUACAGUCUUAGCUCAACUCUGUACAGAACUCUAAACCAAUAUUAAUGUCUAUUUUCUACUUAUUCAACUUGAAAUUUACAAAUGUGUAUUCUUUAAGCAAGAAAAGAAGGACAACUCUAGAUAGACAUUCAAUAAAAAAAAAUCACUAAAAACAAAGUCUUUGUGAACUAACAGCAGACUGGCACAACCUUUGGCUUCCAGGCUUAUUGUGUCUGUGAAGUCCUGGAUCUUCAUUCAUUGUGCUCUUACUAAUUACACUGAGUUCAAGUCAAUCAAGUGCAAUCCCAUAGUGACCUCAGUGGUUACUGUUUUUUUUUUUUUUUUGAGGAAGACUGGCCCUGAGCUAACAUCUGUGUUCGUCUUCCUCUACUUUAUAUGUGGGACUCCUACCACAGCAUGGCUUGACCAACCGUGCCAUGUCCACACCCGGGAUCCGAACCGGUGAGCCCUGGGGCCACCGAAGCAGAACAUGCGCACUUAACUGCUGUGCCACUGGGCAGCCCCUCAGUGGUUGCUCUUAAUUGUGAACUUUGCAGAAGUACAUCUCCCACUGGAAAUGGAGAGGGUAGGGGCUGGCCCCGUGGCCAAGUGGUUAAGUUUGCGUGCUCUGCUUUGGCAGCUCAGGGUUUCACUGGUUCGGAUCCUGGGCACAGACACAGCCCCGCUCAUCAGGCUAUGCUGAGGUGGCGUCCCACAUAACAGAACCAGAGGGACCUACAACUGGGAUGCACAGCUGUGUACUGGGGGACUUUGGGGACAAGAAAGGGGAAAAAAGAAACGCCAACCUUUAAAAAAUAAAAAGGAAUGGAGAGGAUAAAAGGAUAUCUUAUUAUUAAAAUAACAAUAAUGUACUUUUCAGUGUAGAAAGUACAAGGACUAAGGGAAGAAGACGUUUUCUGUAGGACUUUCUUGUUUUUGUAACUAACCUACUUUUACUUGCAAUUGUUUGAUACUGGGUGCAAUUAACUAAUUUGAGUGUUAGAUCCUUCACAUUGGCAUCAGAAAACAAUAGCAGGCAGAGAAAGCUCCCCCAUGAAUGUAAUAUUCAGCUGCCAAACAUUUUGAAAGUCAGCUUUUAAAGUCGUAUCAACUAGAUAAAUUCGACUGACAGUAUUUUUUUUCCUUACACUUUAAAUUUCUCCUCUGGAAAAUAGCAAUUAGUGUUCUCGGGCAUCAUGACAUUAUCGACUCACUAAGUGUAGAUCUGGUGUACUAAAGUUCUAGGAAUGGCAGAAUUUGCUUUUCAUGUCUGACUGGACUCACAUAUUCCAAGAAAAUAAUAUCAGAAUUAAAAUAACGGUGCAUAAUAUUAAUAUGAAUUUGAAUGUAUUGAAUUUCCAAAAAUAUAGUGUCACACUCUAGGAGUCUUGGAAAGUGCAGAUGUUUGUGUCUAGAGCUUAAUCAUGUCUGAUCCAUCCUUGUUAUUCUUUUGGCUGGACUUGCUGUACAAAGAUAAUGUUCGUGAUGGGAUUGUUAAAAAGGAGAAGAAUUUUCCUAGCUGUUGUUGUCUAAAAAUGUAGCUAAUGCUUUCUUAUGUUUGAGGAAAAGCUCAAUAAUGACAAUCAUUGAUUGUGGACUACGAAGAGCUCUUGGUUGGAGGUCAAAGGAGUGUAUAUUGUUACUACAUAAACCCUGUGUCGCUUCUUUAUCUCUAAAAGGGAGAAAAAAUCAUGAUAGUUGACAGCUUCCUUCUGAAACUAUACUAUUUAUAAUUAAAAUCAAGAGUGCAAACAGAUUCUUUACAAGUUGUUGUUGUUGCUGUUUUUAAUUUGCAAAACUCUGCAAAACAGACAAGCUUUGUGUUUCUAUAUUUGCACAAAAUGUGUUAUGAGCCCCACGGUAAUGGUGUUGUUUAACCUAAUGUAAUGCUCUGCCAGUGAUGAGGACAAAGCCAUCUUAAUGGGGGUGGUAGUGAGAGUGGAUUUACGCGAAGGACAUCUCCAAUCAUUGCUGCUGUCCAUCAUCCGGGGAAGAGGUUCUGUUUCAUACCUAAUAACACACCUGAGGAAACAAAUCUGAAGCUUAGACGGGGACAGGGGUUGGGAAUUCAUUACAUGGGGGAAGCUUUUUCCUCCCCUGAGAUGACCCCAGAAUGGGAUAUGGCUAGUGAGCAAGAUAGCUGGGAUAAGAUCAUAAAUCUUUAUUAUAUCAAUAAUAAUAUGCUUCCUUGUGACACAUUGCAAUCUUUGGCAUCUCAUGAAAUAUUUCUGAUAGAUGCCAUUCCCACUAUGCCUCCUAAUGCUCACUAACCAGGGAAGUUAUGGAAAUGCAAAUUACAGAAAGAGCAUCAACGACAGUGUGAGCAGGGACUCAAAGUACACACCGCGAUGUCAACUCUCUUCCCUACCACAACGUUUCCCCCUUCCCCUCACAUAAAAACUGAAGACACUUAUAUAUAUACAUUUUUAUUUACUUUUAUAUUCAUAUAAUUUCCAUAAUCUGAACAUCGUUUCUUCAUUAAAGGAAAGAAUUAGACUAGUCAGUGAGUUCCAAACACUUAUUUUCAACAGAAGAAACCUUUAUUGAAUAAAUGCGUAUAUAGAAUCCCCAUGUAAAACAUAAAAGUAAAGUUGUUUUCUUUGAAUCAUAUGUGAAAGCAAUGAGGCUGGAUUUGUACCGUUAAAGAAACAGAAUCAGUAGCAAAAUCUAAUACAAACAAAAUCUCAUGUUCCAAGAAUUUCACAGGGAAAUUUUUCUGUAUGUUCGGGGAACAGAAGGCCCUAGUUUAUAGUCAGAUGAUAUGAAAGAAAGCAGGCUCUCAAACAUGUUUUAUGAAACUUAUAAACCAUUAUAUCAACUCGCCCCCUGAGAGAACGAUGCAAGAAAGUAAGAUUAUAGAUAAAUAACAUUUUGAGGUUAAAUGCAAAAAUCCUAACUAAAAUGCUAUAAACAGAAUUUUAUGGCCUUAUACACACAAGCACACACACAUACACAAAUUAUGGUUUAUCUAAAGAUCAAAAACUUUGAUAAAUAAAAUCUUGGUAAAAAUUAGGGAAAUGGUGAAACAGGUGCUCUUGAUAAGGUUUGUGUGUGUAUAAUUAGUAAAAUAACUAUGUAGGAGAAUUUGUCAACACAAAUUGCAAUUUCAAAUGCACUGCACACAGGCCUAAUGACCACGGCUAUCUGAUGAAUGUCCCUACAUGUGUGAACUCAAGUAACUAAGGAUAUUCAAUGCAAUGUGAUUGUAGUAGUGAAAAAUUGGAAGCCAUCUAAAUAUCAUCCAGUAGCAGUUGUCAAGUAAAUUAUGAAAAAUAUGUCUAAUGGAAUUUUAUACAAGAAAUACAGAUAUCUAUUCAGCUUCAGUGAACCACGUGCAAUUUCCCAAGCCCACUGGAACCCACAUAAGAUACCCUGUAACAUUCAAUUUAAGAACUUCAACUCCAACGUGGCAAAUCUUCCAAGCACGAUUAGCAUUAAUUAUUUAACAUGAUUAGUGUCUAUAGUAUGCUAUAAUUUUAAUGAGGCUGAGAUUGAGGCUAGGUUCAUUGGAGCACAAAUCUUUCUCCUGUGUUCUUUUUCUUUUAAAACCUUUUGAUUUUCACAUCUGAACAACAAAUGCAGUCUAAUGUCCACAGAUAACCCUGCUUGAAGAAUAAGGUUCCCGGAAGCUCUUAUUGAGAAGACACUCUGGUGCCCCCUUUCGAUUCCCUCUACUUUCAAAGCGUUUCUUCUUGCUACAUCCAGAGGUGUCCAUAUCAACACACACAUCUUAGACAGAGAUAAAAACUCUUCUGCGUCCUCAGGUUCAUCAAGCCCUCUGUCCCGAGAACUGCCUGUUCUUACUGAGCUCAUUCCCCGAAUCGUUAGUAAUCAACUGCCGUGAUGUUAAAGAUGGAAAUCUAAUUACGAGAAAUGGAAGCGUGUGCGCGCUUACCAAUUACAUGCUCAACACAGGUAAUAUUUUCCUCCAUAAAAAGUGAUCUGUUUAGAGUUUUUAUGGAUAAACAUCCUAAUAAAGUUUCCGAUUGUUCUGACAUAUCAUAAGUAAUAAAUAUAAUAAUUUCCUUCUUAUUGAUUGGAAGACCAGAGUAAACCUAGUAAAGAUAGUAGACUUUAAAAGGGCGCAUAAGGCAACUGGAUCAUUAAUAAAUGGUGAUGUUAAAGGAUUACUUAUCUUUUAUAUAUAUAUGUGUGUGUGUGUGUAUAUAUAUAUAUAUACACAUAGGAUAUACAUAUACUUAUAUACAUACUUAUCCUAUUUACUUAUAUACUUAACCUCUACACACACACACACACACACACACACACACACACUCACACAGGUUAACAAGACUGCAGUGUGUGUGGAUGGGUUUGGAGGUUAAUCUCUUCUCAUCUACCUUUUUUCAGAUAGGAUUCCUGUUUUAAACAUUUGUUGGAGGUAGUGAAUAUAAACUUCUCAUUACAAUGGUGAUAAAUCUAUCUGCUAAGAUAGCUUUUUCUUUUGGGGACAUUUUGUUUUGGAUUUUCCAAUCUAUAAUCAACAUGCAGAAAUGGGGCAAUUCAAGAAAGUUGUUACAGAACUAAUAGAGUUAUCACAGGACACUUGCAAAAAAUAGGCAGAACUCAUGAUAUACAAGCUUUUCUGAAUGUGUUUCUAAUGUAAUCAUCUAUUUAGUCAUUACUUGCUUCUCCAGAAGUAUCCAUUUCCAACUGAAAAUAAAGUUUUAGUGCUUGCAAGAAUGAUACUAUUUGUUAAAAUUUUAGCACCCUCAGCACUUAGGAAGAAAGUUUCGUUUCAAGUCUACUUUAGAUGUUAUGUCCUCUUUUAUUGAAUUAGUUUCUGGUUGUUCAGAUUUUAAAGUUUUGUCAUUGAAAAUUACAUUAUUUGUUAUGGGAAUAUCUCAGUUUUAAUAAAAUUUAACCCCAACAUAUUGAAAAUAUUUUACAAAAUGGUGCCUACAUACUUGUAAAAAAUAUGCUUUUAAAAGCAACUCGUUUUCCAUUGAUGAAAGAUUUUUGGCUAUAUUGUCUCCUCCAAUAGUCACAAUAAUGCUGCAAGGAAGGCAAUAUUUCACUUUAGAGAUAAAAAAUAGAGGUUCAGUUAUGAAGUGUUUGCUUAUAAUGUUACUUAGUGGCAGAAUUGGAAGUGCCUUCAAUUUAGUUAAUCCAUUUAUUUACUUGUUACAUAUAGACGUCAUCUCUAUGCAUUCAUGAUCUGUGAGAAGCAGACAGUCGCCUGCUCAUCUACUCCUUUAUUUUGUAGCAAACAUAACAGUAGGUUGGACUGAUCCUACCUGUCAAUCCUGGAAUUGGGCCCUGAUGGGCCUAUCCAGUUAGAAGUUCCUCCUACUUUGCCAUUGCUAGUGUUUCAAGGAAGCCUUAACAACCGAGGCUUAUGGAAAUCAGCACAUGGCAAUCACCAGCCACAAUGACCGAGUCAGGAGUGGCCACUUAGGUCCACCAAUCAGGCCCGAGAUUUGUGUUCAAUGGAUAUUGAAGGGAAUCUUGCAGUCCCUCAGGAUGUGGACAAUGAAGUAUGUUACUUGAGAAGCUGAAGGUGACCAUCAUGCAACCAAAAGAGCAGACCUUAAUAUAAUUUGAGACUGAUGGAGGCAGAGCAGAGAGAAAGAAACAGACUAGGUCCUUGCUGUUGUAAGUGAGAUGUUGAUUGUAACUGAUCAGAAGUCCACCUUAUCUGUGCCCUUGCCGAUUUCUAUUCUGUUACUUUCUACUGAUAACAGUCUGUUAUUAUAUUUCAACUUAGGAAAAAAACACUUAUUCUUGUUUACAAAGGCAUCUUAAAGCAUUAAUUCACAAUCACAGAGAUUUCACUAUAUGAAGAUGAUUGAUGUUAUUUAAUUGACUUUGUUUAACAACGUAUAAUUUAUUGAUUUUCCUUUUGACUCUUUGUAGUAAAAGACUUGAUAGGUAGCAGCUCUUUUUCAAAUUAGGUUGUUGAAGAUGGUGAUGAAAUUCCCAAAUACUCUUUCUGCUGGGAUUAAGGAGCAGAGAUAGAUAUUCGGAACCCAACUUCCUGCCAGUCACUCUCACUGACCUCAGCUGAAGCAGCCUCCUCUCUGGAAGGUCUCCAGCCUGAAAACUAGCAUCCAGAGUUCAGAGCUUCCAGACCUUAAGGAUCACGGACUAUAACCUGGAGAAUUUAUUUAUCAAAAGAGGCAUCAAAUAAAAGACUCUUUGCAGCAUGUUGGAAAGGACCAUACUAGGAUGAGAAGAAGAUGCCAUCUGUUGUAGACAGCUGUCCCAAGACUCCUGACCAGGGCUAUAAACCAAAUGCUGCUAAUUGUCACCCAUCUACAAGUUCACAUGAAGUCAUGGCUACAUCUGUCUAAACUGGGCCACCCUCACCUCUCACUUGUCUGACUCAGGGGCAGUGUACAACAAUGGAAGCAAUGUCACCCCCUAAGAGACAUUUAGGAAAUGUGCAAAAAGCUAUAUGGUUCUCACAACGAUUGGUGGGUGCUACUGACUUUGCAUAGGUAGGGAUGAGAGAGCCUAGAAAGCUGAGAUGCAACUUUGUUCUGCACAACAAAGAAAUCUUCAAUGUCUGCAGGAAUCUCCAGCGUCCAGCAAUGCAAACCUCAGCAUGAGUACGUCCCAAGAGCUGGACAGGAAGAGUGCCACCCCAGCCCCACCCAGCACAAACACUCAAAAAGUGAGCUUAUUAAAGAAUUUAGGGGGUGCCUCCUUCACUUGGGAUCCACACAGCUGUUAUAGCCCUAAAUGUCCUCUCUUUUUAUCAGGCCCCAGGGAAACACUCAUUUUAACAUCUUCAAAACAAAAGAUGACUGUGUCUGAAUGCGGUGAGAUUUCUGGGUGCUGUCGCUGCUUGAAGGGGUGCAGGGAGUACUUGAGAGACAUAAAUGCUUACACAGAGAAAAGGAAAAUUAACUCGUCAAGUUCUUUCUUUCAGGUAACAUAAAUGCAAUCAAUUCUGGAAUAAUUAGAAACUGUUUGCUGUUUGCAAGAAGUGCUGAGCAUCCAUUUUCUUGUUUCUCUCGAUGCUCCAGUUUGUGGUUCCAGAGUUAUUCACAAAUUCAUGUUAUGGUCUGAACACUUGUACUUGGCUCCAUAAGGAACAUUUUAAAACAUGAGGUAGUUCAUAUUACUCUUAAAUCUGUGUAUUUGCAGGCCUGUAUGUAAUGAGCAAGAAACAAGAUACCAAUUCAUUACACUGGCCACAAAAAGGACACUGAAUGCUAAAUGUUGAGAAUAGUUGUAUUUUAUAAACUUGCCUAAUAUGAAUUAAUUAAAAUUUCUACUUAUUUAAAUAUGUUUGAUUUGAAAUUUGGUAUUAAUUUAUAUAAAUAUGAGGUUUGCCUUUUAAUUUAAUAAAGUGUUAAAUAAAACUUCUUUGGAAAACAUAAAUUUAAAAAAGUCCAACAAUUUAGGAGGAGGUCAUUAUUGAGGAGGGGACUCAAAUAUUAGUCAUAGCUUUGUCCUGG
rnacentral:lncRNA from 1 species